rnacentral:pre_miRNA from 1 species
GGCAGAAUUGCUGGGUCUUAUGAUAAUUCUAUGAUUAACUUUUUGAGGAAUUGCCAAAAUGUUUUCUAAAGUGGUUGCAUCAUUUUGCAUCCCCACCAGCAAU